CUUUCUCUUAAAUCUCUUCUGACUUCUCUCUUUUCACUUCUUAGUUCUCACCUUCUCUCUCAAAUCUCCAGCGACUGACAGAGAUGGACAACAUACGAAGAAAUGAAGAAGCAAAUCAGACAACAAUUUUGCUAUGUUUGCUGAAACGAAGCCUUGACCUGCUGAUUGCUGAAGCUUUUCCAAUUUUCUGCUUCUCCCCCAAGCCCUGAGCUCCGUUGAUUCUCUGCUUCUCCCCCAAUUGCUGAAGCUUUUCCAAUUUGCUGAAACGAUAGACCUUUAUUUCUCUGCUUCUCCCCCAAGCCCUGAGCUCCGUUGAUUCUGUAAAUUCUAGAUUCUGCAGCAGCUAUCGGUGAAGCCUUGAAGGUAUUUGUAAUGGACUCCAUUGGAGAAACACCAUCAGACACAGCCGCAACAUUGAGUUCAACACCAACACUGAGUACUUCAAAUUCACAAACUCAAUCCUUAACAAGGGGGAAGACAGAUCUUGCUUGGUCGCAUUGUAGAGAGGAUUCUGUGUCAAACAAAAAAGUUAAGUGCUUGAUAUGUAUUCACUGUGGAAAAAAAAUUCAAGGUGAUGGUAUCCAUUAAUUCAAACAACAUCUUGCGGGUGUAAAAGGGGAGACAACACCUUGUCCGAAGGUUGAGGCACAUAUUAGAUGUGAAAUGCUGGAAAAUUUGAAAGCUCUAGAAACUAAGAAAAGAAGCUUACAAGCACGCUUAAGGGGAAGUGACUUAUAUGGCCAAAAUAUGAGAAUACAUGAAGAGCAAGUAUACAUGCAAGAUAAAGAUGAUAUUCAGGAGAUUUAGCUGCCUCCCACUGCUGAAGUUUCAAAGGAAAAAAAUGUGGUUCAACAACAUAAAAAGGGAAAAACAAUAGGGACUUUUUUCACGCCUAGAACAACCAUCCAUCAAAAGCGUCCUACAAAGCAAAGAGGCUAAAGGAAAGGUUGACUUGGCAGUUGCAAAGUGGAUAAUUGAUGCUUGCAUCUCUUUCAAUGCAGUGAAAUUUACAUAUUACCAACCAAUGUUUGAUGCUACUUGUUCUUUUGGAGUUUGUUACAAACCUCCAAAUUUCUAUGAUAUGCUGGGCUAUUUAUAGACAAAAAAUGUUAAACAAA